AUUGAACGCUGGCGGCAUGCCUUACACAUGCAAGUCGAACGGUAACAGGUCUUCGGAUGCUGACGAGUGGCGAACGGGUGAGUAAUACAUCGGAACGUGCCCGAUCGUGGGGGAUAACGGAGCGAAAGCUUUGCUAAUACCGCAUACGAUCUACGGAUGAAAGCAGGGGACCGCAAGGCCUUGCGCGGACGGAGCGGCCGAUGGCAGAUUAGGUAGUUGGUGGGAUAAAAGCUUACCAAGCCGACGAUCUGUAGCUGGUCUGAGAGGACGACCAGCCACACUGGGACUGGGACACGGCCCAGACUCCUACGGGAGGCAGCAGUGGGGAAUUUUGGACAAUGGGCGCAAGCCUGAUCCAGCCAUGCCGCGUGCAGGAUGAAGGCCUUCGGGUUGUAAACUGCUUUUGUACGGAACGAAAAGACUCUUUCUAAUAAAGAGGGUCCAUGACGGUACCGUAAGAAUAAGCACCGGCUAACUACGUG
rnacentral:rRNA from 1 species